CAGCCGCGUAAUUCCAGCUCCAAUAGCGUAUAUUAAAGUUGUUGCAGUUAAAAAGCUCGUAGUUGAAUUUCGGGAUUGACACAUCGGUCGUGCCUUAAGGGGUAUGAACUGGUGUAGUCAAUUUCUCACCUUCUGGAGAACCGCAAUGCCCUUAAUUGGGUGUCGCGGGGAACCAGGACCUUUACUUUGAAAAAAUUAGAGUGUUUAAAGCAGGCAUUUUGCUUGAAUACAUUAGCAUGGAAUAAUAAAAUAGGACGGAUGAUUCUAUUUUGUUGGUUUCUAGGACCACCGUAAUGAUUAAUAGGGAUAGUUGGGGGCAUUAGUAUUCAAUUGUCAGAGGUGAAAUUCUUGGAUUUAUUGAAGACUAACUACUGCGAAAGCAUUUGCCAAGGAUGUUUUCAUUAAUCAAUAACGAAAGUUAGGGGAUCGAAGACGAUCAGAUACCGUCGUAGUCUUAACCAUAAACUAUGCCGACUAGGAAUCAGACGAUGUUAAUUUUUUAAUGACUCGUUUGGCACCUUACG
rnacentral:misc_RNA from 1 species